rnacentral:piRNA from 1 species
UUUCAUGUGCAAUGAUUUUGA